AAUAAGACAAACCAUGGGUUUCCGUGUCCAAAGUUUGACUGUCCGUUUUAUAUGAUUUUUUUAUAAUUAGUAUUUUCAUUGUUGUUAAAUGAUAAAACAUGAUUAAUACUUUAUGCGUGACUUGUCUUUUUAAUUUUUUUAUAAUUUUUUUAAAUAAGACGGACGGUCAAACGUUGGACACGGAAACUCAGAAUUUGUCUUUUU
rfam:Oryza sativa (indica cultivar-group) chromosome 2, whole genome shotgun sequence.